GGCUUCGUGGCCUAAUGGUAAGGCGUUGCUUUCCGGUACAAGGAUCAUGGCAAAGAUUGUGGGUUCGAGUCCCAUCGGGGUCG
rnacentral:tRNA from 1 species